UACAGAGGUCUCAAGCGUUGUUCGGAUUCAUUGGGCGUAAAGGGUGCGUAGGUGGCGCGCUAAGUCAGGUGUGAAAUCUCGGGGCUUAACUCCGAAACUGCAUUUGAUACUGGCGUGCUUGAGGACUGGAGAGGAGACUGGAAUUCAUGGUGUAGCAGUGAAAUGCGUAGAGAUCAUGAGGAAGACCAGUGGCGAAGGCGGGUCUCUGGACAGUUCCUGACACUGAGGCACGAAGGCCAGGGGAGCAAACGGG
rnacentral:rRNA from 1 species